ACCUCAGCUGGUGUGACUCCCGUGGCCCCAGAAAUCAAGGAUGGGUGAGACCUCGUGUGCAAACUGAAAGGCGACCCAUACUUGGUUUCAGGGGCUUCGAGAACAAGAGCGGUCGUGUUUG
rnacentral:pre_miRNA from 15 species